UACGGGGGGGGCAAGCGUUGUUCGGAAUUACUGGGCGUAAAGGGCUCGUAGGUGGCCAACUAAGUCAGACGUGAAAUCCCCGGGCUCAACCCGGGAACUGCGUCCGAGACUGGAAGGCUUGAAUCCGGGAGAGGGAUGUGGAAUUCCAGGUGUAGCGGUGAAAUGCGUAGAUAUCUGGAGGAACAUCGGUGGCGAAGGCGGCAUCCUGGACCGGUAUUGACGCUGAGGCGCGAAAGCCAGGGGAGCAAACGGG
rnacentral:rRNA from 1 species